ACUGGAAACUCCGCCUCCCGGGUUCACGCCAUUUUCCUGCCUCAGCCUCCUGAGUAGCUGGGACUACAGGCGCCCGCCACCACGCCCGGCUAAUUUUUUGUAUUUUUAGUAGAGACAGGGUUUUACCGUGUUCGCCAAGAUGGUCUCGAUCUCCUGACCUCUUCGUCCGCCCGCCUUGGCCUCCCAAAGCGCUGGGAUUAGAGGCGUGAGCCACCGCGCCCGGCCGGUCCACUAAUUCUUUUAAACUCUGUAAGGCAUUUUUUUUUUUCCUGUUUAAAUAUAUAUCGACAUUAGAUAGCUUUGGCUGUGGCAAAGAGGACCUGCUAUUGUAGGUCUGUGGGCUGGCAGUGACUGGGCUGGGCUCAUCUGAGAUUGGCGGGGCUCGGCUCUGUGCCUUGUACUGUCUCAUUCCGGAACAUGGACGGAAGGCGGGGUCGCUGUUGGGCAUGCUGUUCUCAGGAGGGCAAGCAAAGCUCUGGGGCACUGCUUCUGAAAGCCUCUGCUCACAAUCGGCAGCUGACACCUGCAGACAAUCUCCACUGUUGCAAAUUAUUCUCUGAAGGACAUACUUAAAACUAAAAGAUGUUGGAUCUCCAAUAUGAAUUCGUAACUUCAGAAUGUGACCUUAUUUGGAAAUAGGAUCAUUGCAGAGGUAUUUCGUGAAGAUCAGUUCAUACUGGAGUGAGGUGGACCUGUAAUCCAGUUGAAUUUGUAUCCUUAUAAAAAGGGGAUGUCUGGACACAGACAGAUACACAGGAAGAACAUCACAUAAACAAGAAGACAGAGAUUGGGGUAAUGUUUCUACAAGUCAAGGAUUAACAAAGAUUGCCUGCAAACCACAGAAACCAGGAAAGAGGCCUCAAAGAGAUUCUCACUCACACCCUCAGGAGGAACCAACCCUGCUGACCUUAAUCUCGGACUUCUGGUCUCCCGAAUUGUGAGAAAAUAAAUUUCUGUUGUUUCAGCAAUUCAGUGUAUGGUACUUUGUUACAGGAGCCCUAACACAGCAUGAACGACUGAAUCUGUAGAAAUUUAAUUCUGUUUUCGGAUCUAAACACUGGAAAAUUGAACAAAGGUAGAAGAUUCAGAGGCCACAAAGGCAGUGGAACACUUUGAGUAAAGGAGCGUGGGCAUCAAAAUUGAAUAUUCCUUCUAUUUUCUGGAAAAACAAAACAAAACAGGAACUGUAGGUCACACUUGUGUCCGUAUGUUGGUAGUUUUAAGAAAAAGGGCUUGGGUAAAGAGUUUCUCUGAGAUUUCUGACUUUUCCAUUGAUUAUAACCAUUUCCCAUAGCUACUUAUAAGUCAUGGGCUCAUAUGCCUGACAAAAUGUAUUAAAAUAUUCAAAGUAAAAAUAAUCUAGAUCUAGAGUCAGCCACACUUGGGAUUUCGAUUUGCUUGGGAAUUUUGUAUCUGCUGAAACCUGCCUGCCUUGACCUGUUUUUUCCUUCCCAUGCUAAAUUCCUACAUUCUCUAUCUUUCAUUUCACCCACUUAGGCAGAACUGAAAUUGCAUAAGCUCCAUUUCAAGGCCCUAAGGUCAAGACCCCUGGCUGUUCUUGACCUGCAGCAGCCCUUAACCCUUAGCUCCUGCAUCUCCAGCCUGACCAUCCGCCAGCUGCUUUUGAGCAGCUUUGUUCAUCUGCUCUUCAUGCAUUCAGUAUUAAAGUGAGAUUUUAUAUUUAUGCUCAUAUCAAAACACUAGAAAUGAUUCACUAUUUUUUUAUUCGGGGUGAAAAAUCUUCAAGGCUCCUUCUUUCAGUAUACAACUUUAUAUUAUCGUGCAGCAUAACUGCAGUAGCACAGUUUGUUCAUUGUCUGAUGGCUGAGUCCUCAAAGGCAUGUAUGUUACAUGGUUAGUAAUCACAUUUAUUUUUCAUAAAAAUAGUAGAUAAAGGAGCAUAGAUUUUAAUGACUAUGUAAACUCAUCUUUUAUCAGAAACAUGGAAGGGAUGUGAUGCUAUUUUAAAGUAGUAUACAUUUUUUUGACAUUUUAAGAUUUCUUUGUUGUCUUAAGGCUACUUAAAUGAUUUCUUAUUAUUUGCAACUUUUGCUAAUAAAAUGUUACAAAGCU